AGACUUUCAAAAGUUUCCAAAUCUUGGCACCAAACACCAACUUAGUCCAGUCUCACCACCAAACAUAGCUAGCUUGAAAAGCAACUAAAUUGAACCAUUUCUUGGACCUAUAUGUUGACACUAAUUAUCAUUUGGGCAUAUAAAGAGUGCAUCGCAGCCCCUAAGUCUAAAAAACCAAGGCUUUCAAAACUUUCCAAAUCUUGGCGCCAAACACCAAC
rnacentral:lncRNA from 1 species